UCGGGUUGUAAAGCACUUUUGUCCGGAAAGAAAACCUUCGCUCGAAUACAGUGGGGGGAUGACGGUACCGGAAGAAUAAGCACCGGCUAACUACGUGCCAGCAGCGCGGUAAUCGUAGGGUGCGAGCGUUAAUCGGAAUUACUGGGCGUAAAGCGUGCGCAGGCGGUUCGUUAAGACAGAUGUGAAAUCCCCGGGCUUAACCUGGGAACUGCAUUUGUGACUGGCGAGCUAGAGUAUGGCAGAGGGGGGUAGAAUUCCACGUGUAGCAGUGAAAUGCGUAGAGAUGUGGAGGAAUACCGAUGGCGAAGGCAGCCCCCUGGGCCAAUACUGACGCUCAUGCACGAAAGCGUGGGGAGCAAACAGGAUUAGAUACCCUGGUAGUCCACGCCCUAAACGAUGUCAACUAGUUGUUGGGGAUUCAUUUCCUUAGUAACGUAGCUAACGCGUGAAGUUGACCGCCUGGGGAGUACGGUCGCAAGAUUAAAACUCAAAGGAAUUGACGGGGACCCGCACAAGCGGUGGAUGAUGUGGAUUAAUUCGAUGCAACGCGAAAAACCUUACCUACCCUUGACAUGGUCGGAACCCUGCUG
rnacentral:rRNA from 1 species